rnacentral:lncRNA from 1 species
CCAUUUUGCACAGAGUGGCAUUUUUUGAAAAAUGUAUUGAUAGCAAUGUUGAAUAUUAUUACACAGGAUAAAAACAACUACACAUAAAAUUAUUACACCACGACGCCUCUGCCUUUCUAAAUGGAGGGACAGUAACUGCGUGUGUAUUUGUAAGCGUGUAAAACCUGAAGAUACUCAGAUUAACAGUAACAGUAUGUUGUCUCUAUCCGCGAUUGUAAAAAUUUAUCUAAUGUAAACAAUAACGUGGCGCACACGGGAAAAAAGGCACAUACCUUUGACGUUGGGUGACGAACGCCGUAUUCCUCGUCCACACGUAAACGCAAAAACUGAGUUUUCGAAAAUCUCCAACCUGGCAGGAGUUUUAAAAAAUCUCAGUUUUUGUUGAUUUGAAACGCCGUUUACGUGUGGACGAAAAAUGUCAUAUAGGCUUUUACAAGUCCACGAGCGCAAAAAAAAAAAAAAAAAAAUUAAAAGCCUCUGUAAUUAAAUAAUGGUACAGAAAUAAUGCCUCAUCUGCAUAAGAAAAAUUACCAGUACUGGGCCGGUAAGAGGGAAAUUUCUUUUGCAGUUCAUCUGAAAUGAUGCACUUGCGCUUUGGGAUCUUUUAAACAACAUUAGGUGCGUUGCUGCGCACCGGCUGUCCCGUCUGUGAGCGCACAACAAGCGCUCACAAAGCAGCAGUUCGAGGAUGACUUCAAGCACAUGGGUCCUCUGUCGGACUAUAGGAAAACCCGGACAUUUUCAUCAAUUUCGAAAAUCCCCCCUGACGCCCCGGAGAGAACGUGAAAACUGGACAUGACCGGGGAAAAGAGGACGGUUUUCAUACUUGAUUUUCCCUUUUGCCCUUUGCCUGCAUUUAUUCUCUCUUCCAUCCUCCUCAUCCCUCCCUUUCUUACUUCCGUGACUCCUGAACAGUCUGAUUGGUGUGACGGAUCACCCAGGCUUUGGCAUGGAUGGAUGCAUGGGUCAAUAUCUAUCUAAAGAGGAUUGGAGCUCAAAUGAAGGCUAGGCUACCUGAGAAAGCAGCCAACGGAGAAGAUGCUCAAA